rfam:Phanerochaete carnosa HHB-10118-sp unplaced genomic scaffold PHACAscaffold_4, whole genome shotgun sequence.
GGGCACUUGGCACAGUGGUAGCGCGCACGCUUCGCAUCUUGGGUCGCUGCUUGCGUGAGGUCGGGAGUUCAAUCCUCCCAGUGUCCA